AUGAUUUCUUUUUGCCAAUCAAGGAUGUUAAUGAUUGGAUUGGGCCACCAAAUAAUAACGGGGUCAUUAAGGAAGUUACUAUUAAUGCAGAUACUACCUGUGGCAAUGACUGGGUCUGUGAGCAUCGAUGGCGUCAGAUAAGGAACAUGGUUUGGUUCCGUAACGUGGUGGACGGCCAACCUUUUGCAAACUGGUGGGAUAACGGAAGCAACCAGGUAGCUUUUGGAAGAGGAACAGAGGAUUCAUUGUCUUUAACAAUGAUGAUUGGCAAUUAUCUUCAACUUUGCAAACUGGUCUUCCUGGUGGCACAUACUGUGAUGUUAUCUCUGGAGAUAAAGUUGGUAACAGUUGUACAGGAAUUAAAGUCUAUGUUUCCAGUGAUGGCACAGCUCAGUUUUCUAUUAGUAACUCUGCCGAAGAUCCAUUUAUUGCAAUUCAUGCUGAAUCCAAUUGUAAAAUUUGAAUUAAAUACAUCUUCCAAGAGCAA